rnacentral:rRNA from 1 species
UACGAAGGGUGCAAGCGUUACUCGGAAUUACUGGGCGUAAAGCGUGCGUAGGUGGUUUGUUAAGUCUGAUGUGAAAGCCCUGGGCUCAACCUGGGAACGGCAUUGGAAACUGGCUUACUAGAGUGCGGUAGAGGGGUGUGGAAUUCCCGGUGUAGCAGUGAAAUGCGUAGAUAUCGGGAGGAACAUCUGUGGCGAAGGCGACACCCUGGACCAGCACUGACACUGAGGCACGAAAGCCAGGGGAGCAAACGGG